rnacentral:rRNA from 1 species
GAAGAACGCUGGCGGCGUGCCUAAUACAUGCAAGUAGGACGCAGUUGCGAACGGGUGAGUAACGCGUAGGUAACUACCUAUUAGAGGGGGAUAACUAUUGGAAACGAUAGCUAAUACCGCAUACUAGUAGAUGGACCUGCGUUGAAUUAGCUAGUAGGUAGGGUAAUGGCCUACCUAGGCAACGGUACAUAGCCGACCCGAGAGGGUGAUCGGCCAAACUGGGAAGUAGAAACGGCACAGACGUCUACGGGAGGAAGCAGUAGGGAAUCUUCGGCAAUGGGGGGAACCCUGACCGGGCAACGCCGCGUGAGUUAAGAAGGGUUUCUGAUCGUAAAGCUCUGUUGUUAAGGAAGCGGUACCUAACCAGAAAGAGCCGGCUAACUACGUGCCAGACGCCGCGGUAAUAC